rnacentral:rRNA from 1 species
CGUGUAGGCGGUAUCAUAAGUCAGAUGUGAAAGCCCUAGGCUUAACCUAGGAGGUGCAUUUGAUACUGUGAAACUAGAGAUUGAGAGAGGAUAGUGGAAUUACGAGUGUAGAGGUGAAAUUCGUAGAUAUUCGUAAGAACACCAGUGGCGAAGGCGACUUUCUGGCUCAAUACUGACGCUAAGGCGCGAAAGCGUGGGAGCAAACA